GACGGAGGGGGCAAGCGUUGUUCGGAAUUAUUGGGCGUAAAGGGCUCGUAGCGGAUCGCCAGUUUGACGUGAAAUCUCCACCGCUCACCGGGGAGGGGCCGUUGAAUACUACGGAUCUGGAGUUCGGCAGAGGACCGAUGGAAUUUCGGGUGUAGCGGUGGAAUGGCGUAGAUAUCCGAAAGAACACCGGUGGCGAAGGCGGUGGAUCUGGGGCCUGAAC
rnacentral:rRNA from 1 species